rfam:Dufourea novaeangliae contig2309, whole genome shotgun sequence.
UCACUCUGGUUUCCCUUCAAAACACGCAUAAAUCUUUCGCCUUUUACUAAAGAUUUCCGUGGAGGGGAACAAUUGAUGAGUCUAUGAAAUAAUUUUUUGUGUACCCGGCGCAAGCUGGGUC